CUGAGAUGAAACACCAGUUCCCAUACAAUCACUGAAGUUGAACAAUGUCGAGCCUGGUCAGUUGCUAGAUGGGUAACCAUCUGGGAAUAUCGGGUGCUGUAAG